CAAUACAUACAAGCAUUUGUCUCGCAAACCAGAUUUUUUUCAAGGGAAUGUUCCACGUCUCAAUAAUUUCUCUCGUCGUAUUCGAGUGCUGAUUGCCGUGUUAUAGUUUGUUAACGAAGCUUCCCCUCAAGUCUAAAUAUUUUAAGACAGUUUGUCGUGUGCGUAUCAUGGCCACGCACGCUUAUAUCGCCUUCCGUUUCUCUACCACGGUUGCGCUUUAAAACCACGGCGCUGCAAGUUUGCUUCAGAGACUUUCCUUUCCUUCCCACUUCUCCGCCCUUAAACUAGCUCUCUUAACUACUACACGCAGAGACAAAGCAACAGCGCGCGCAUUAGAUCCUAUAGAUGAGAUGAAUAUUUACAAUUAUUAUUAGGGUUAUAAUUAUAUUCGAGUGCUGAUUGCCGUGUUAUAGUUUGUUAACGAAGCUUCCCCUCGUCUAAAUAUUGUAAGGCAGUUUGUCGUGUGCGUAUCAUGGACACGCAUGCUUAUAUCGCCUUCCGUUUCCCUACCACGGUUGCGCUUUAAAACCACGGCGCUGCAAUAUUGCUUUCCUCUCCUUCCUUCUUCUCCGCCCUUAAACUGGGUCUCUUAACUACUACACGCAGAGACAAAGCAACAGCGCGCGCAUGCGAUCCCAUAGAUGAGAUGAAUACAUACAUAUAGAAAUGUAUCAGUCAUAGCUCUCGUAGUAUAGCCUUCUGAGCCGUUUCCUUUUUUUUCUUUUUUUUUCUUUGAAAGAAGUCCUAUUAGGGUUAUUAUAAUUACACGAAGGUAUUUCGCCCUCGCCAGCAGCAGUACUUGAGAUAGCUAUUCUGGCGGCUAGCUUCCCACGCUAUACGUGCCGCCCUCGCACCUGUUUAAGCUUUUCCUAGACGCUAGAGCUGUACUAUGCCCGCGCAACCUUGAGCGAUCCGAAAGCGCGUUUUCCACUCUUGGCCGGCGGAGAGGGGAGGCUUCGUUCCGGCCGCGAAGCUCUCCACAUCUCUGUAAGGUGCCUGGUGGUGGUCUCGUGCUGACGAUGCCCUCUCGGUGAGCGCAUAUUUCCCCCCUCAUCUUUUAAGAGGUUCAAUACAUACAAGCAUUUGUCUCGCAAACAAGAUUUUUUUCAAGGGAAUUUUCCACGUCUAAAUAAUUUCUCUCGUCGUAUGCGAGUGCUGAUUGCCGUGUUAUAGUUUGUUAACGAAGCUUUCCCUCAAGUCUAAAUAUUUUAAGACAGUUUGUCGUGUGCGU
rnacentral:lncRNA from 1 species